UACGUAGGGCGCAAGCGUUGUCCGGAAUUAUUGGGCGUAAAGGGUGCGUAGGCGGCGCGGUAAGUCGGGUGUGAAAUCUUGGAGCUUAACUCCGAAACUGCAUUCGAUACUGCCGUGCUUGAGGACUGGAGAGGAGACUGGAAUUUACGGUGUAGCGGUGAAAUGCGUAGAUAUCGUAAGGAAGACCAGUGGCGAAGGCGGCGCCCUGGCCCACACCUGACGCUGAGGUGCGAAAGCGUGGGUAGCAAACAGG
rnacentral:rRNA from 1 species